rnacentral:lncRNA from 1 species
GGCCAGGCACUACUCUGUCCCAACAAUAAGCCCUGUACAUUGGGAAAGGUGCCGAAGACAUGAACUUUGGUCUUCUCUGCAAUCCCUCUGGAGCAUUCAGUGACAACGUCGACUUUGAAGUUGCACUGACCUGGCCAGCCCUGCCACUUACCAGGUUGGGCUGUGGCUUGCCUUUUCACUUCUUGUGUCCUGUUUAAGAAAUAUCUGCUAUCCCAAGAUUGAGCCUCGUAUUUCAUAUCUGCCCCUGGCCUAAUGUUUGCUUACAGAAUGAGCUCAAUGAAUAUUGUUAAAUAACACUAACAAAGUUGACCUUAGAAUUGGAGUGCCCGGGUUAGAACCUUGCUGGUACCACCUGCUUACUGCAUGCUUCUGAUGUGAGUUCAGGAGAAGCCACUGGCAAGGACAGCAAAGAACAGGAGAACACUCUAGCUUCCCUGAUAGCAUUCAAGGUGCUGUCCAAACUGACUGUGAUGGCACCCUCCAGACAGACAGCGAUGCCACAUGUUCAAGAUGGCAGAAUCACUAACAGCUUCAAUUCCUGAAUGACUGCAGAGCAAAAUUUCUUACCCGCAACAUACACUCUAUUUUCAGCCUCCCUGGACUGUUACAUAAUGAUACAUAAAAAUAUUUCUUGUGUUGAGGCAUCCCAAAUUUGAUCUAUUUGUCAUCACAGUUUAUCCUACGAAUAUAUUUCUGAUCCAAAUAAUGCUAGAUUCAUGAGAGUUUAUAGUCCAGAGAUUUUUUUUUUUUUUUUUUUUUGAGACAGAAUCUCACUGUCUGCCAGGCUGGGGUGCAGUGGCAUAAUCUUAGCUCACUGCAACCUCCGCCUCCUGGGCUCAAGUGAUCCUCCCUCCUUAGCCUCCAUGAAUAGCUGGGACCACAGGUGUGCACCACCCCACCCAGCUAAUUAUUUUGUAUUUUUUGCAGAGACGGGGUUUCACCACAUUGCCCAAGCUGGUCUCAAACUCCUAGACUUAAGGGAUCUUCCCGCCUUGGCCUCCCAAAAUGCUGAAAUUACAUGUGUUAGCCAUAGUAAUAGUUCCUAGCCAUAGUCCAGAGAUAUUUUAAAAACUUUAGUGUGAGUUAUUUCUCUUUGCUAUAAUUCUCUCAUGCAUUUUGAAAACCUUUUCUGCCAUACAGUGGUUUUUGGGAAGUCCUUUUGGACAGACAUAUCACAGGAUGGAGAAACUAAAAA